UUUCCUACGGGGGGCAGCAGUGGGGAAUAUUGCACAAUGGGGGGAACCCUGAUGCAGCGACGCCGCGUGGGUGAAGGAGUACUUCGGUACGUAAAGCCCUAUCAGCAGGAAAGAAAAUGACGGUACCUGACUAAGAAGCCCCGGCUAACUACGUGCCAGCAGCCGCGGUAAUACGUAGGGGGCAAGCGUUGUCCGGAUUUACUGGGUGUAAAGGGGGCGCAGACGGCGAUGCAAGCCAGGAGUGAAAGCCCGGGGCCCAACCCCGGGACUGCUCUUGGAACUGCGUGGCUGGAGUGCAGGAGGGC
rnacentral:rRNA from 1 species